rnacentral:lncRNA from 1 species
UAUAAGGAAAAGAUGUUGCGAUAUUUAAACACAUAGUGCGAGAAUAGAAACGAUGUCCUAAUUUGGGAGCCUCGUUGUGCCCGAGGUAGGCCUAGCGACAAAUUGAUUUGGAGAACUUAUAAUGCUAAAUGCCUUAUUUUAUUGAUAAAAAGCAGACGAAUCCUAAAACGACACUAAAUAACAAGGAAUAAAAUGUCACUAGUGGCCAUUGGCCUUAUUACAUUUCAUAAAGUAAAAGAAAACUCCUAUCUAUUUGGUCCCAAAAGGACCUUCCUCAGGUUGAAUGCUCUCGUUAAUCAAAUCCUCCAGCUCGCAUAGGUUCACCAGUAGAAAUGCCUUUUCCAUGUGUUCUCCUUCGUUUCCUUCAGCGUUCUGGCAGUCGGUGACUCUCUUGCUCACUUUCCCUUCCAAUUCCAGCAGACUGUACUCCAGAUAUUCCAACUUUUCGCUAGCUUUGGCAGCCCUCUCUUUACACUCGUGGUUUUGGUCAUUUGAUGGAAGACUCCUCCACCAGUCCAGCAAGAGUGAGGGUGUUCUAACCAUACCGAAGUUGGGGACCUCGUGCCUCAUGUUUCUGCAAGAUAAAAGGGUUAGGCCCUUACCCCCACCGGACUCGACUAUUUAACUAUCAAUAAUUGGCAUAAGCAGAAUUUAUUUCUCCAAAUAAAUGCACAAAACGUGGUAAUGUCUGUUUGGGUUCCAAGGAAACCCAGUGGACUUUGGACAAGACUAUCUUAAAGAGUCAUUAUCUGGACAACAUAACUGACUCAGCUAGGUUUUGACAGUGAUGCAUGCACAAUUAAACAGAGUAGGGUUUCUAUGGGGUAUUAGAUUGGUACCCUUAAGCGGACAACUCAAGAGGGAAAGGCACGGAACCGUCGACUACACCGUUGAUUGACUGGUUUUACCGCAAAUAUGCCUUUGCCAAAUUUAGGGGGUAAUAAUAUCGGAAGGGCGCAACCACUUAUUAUAAGCGUUGUUAUGGUAUUUUGUUUGGCACGAGUGGAAUAUGAUGUUGAAUAUGCAGUUAUAAUAAUUAAACAAAUUGUCAUAUAUUUGAAUAUUCAUAAGGUAAUAAUUACAAUAAUUGCUCAAAUUACAACAGUAUUAAAGGAAAGCAUUAAGGGAAAUAAAGAGAAGAAACGAACAGCCAAGUCAGUUUUCGAAGUAGGAGAGCCAAAUAAAUACUUAAAGGCAUUAAAGACAUUCAAGGAAGCAAAAAGUCACAAAUAGUAUGAAAUGGUAAAAGCCUUAAAGAAAUCCCCAGCAGAGUCGCCACGCUGUCGUGCCCCCUUUUUCUCGCGAAAUCGGGGUUAUGACAUUUGGGAGGACAACUCAUUCCCUUUUGGGAAUUGGGUUUUUUGAUUUGAAUAGUCUCCACCUAAUUAUUAAGUGCAUUAGGACACUAGGAAGAAUUUGUUUAGAAAAACCAGAGUUUGGGUAAGGGCUAGAAAUUAUCUCGGGGGGAAGGUGUUAGGCACCCAUCAAGAUCCACUAGUGUGGUUCCCGGCCAUGCUACAAUUGUGACUUGAGUACAAAAAAUAAAUAAGAAAUUAAGGGUUUCAAAUAUGAGGGGUUGUCACAUUGUGAUUGCAAAUAAGUUAAAGCUUGAAGAAACAAGGAAGUUGAAAUUUGAGAAAAAGGAGUUUGAAAUUUUGAAAGUAAUAAAAUAAACAAGUAAAGGGAAGGGGGGUCCUAGGCUUAUAAAUAAUAUGGAUCACAUCAAUGCAAUACCCGGUAAUCACUCCUCAGAAGAGGGGUUACACGUGGUAUUAGCGCACUGGUCAUCAUAUCCAUAUCUACCCUUUCUCACCUCGUUGAGGUAUUUAAAUGCAGAAUGGUUUCGUUACUUAUUACAUGCUAGUACCCGCCCCAAUCCUAUCUGUCCCGGAGGCAUUCAGAACUACUAGUCCUAAAGGGAAGGGAAAUGUGGGUUUUGUGUGGUUUAAAAGGAUAAAAUUCUAAAGCGACAAACAAAAACACAUAAGGCAGAUUAUGGGAAACACAUAACAAUUUAAAAGGCUCAGAUGGGCCUCCUCACUUAAAGACAGAUUGUUUAGCAUAUCUUGCAGAUACAGUUUAUGGUCUAAAUUAAACUUAAACAAUAAGGAGGCAUACUAGUCUAUUACACAUUUCAAAUAAGAAACCGAAAUUAGACCUGCCUACUGGUUGGAAUUAACAUAGUCUGAUUCAAUUAGCUAAUUUUACCUUAUAGCUUGCCUAAGUGAAACCUACAGGCAUGACAUCUACUAAUACAGAAGUGUAUUGAUUUUUACAAGAAGAAGGCCUGUUGAUUAUAGAAAACAUAAGUUCUACAGGCAUUGAGUAACGUUACUACUGAUUUUAGACUUGUAAACGAUUCAGAUCAGUUGGUUACUCCUAUAGACAUGCGUUCUAAGAGUUAUUAAGUUUAACCUUUACGAAAAUGCAAAAAUCCUAUAGGCAUGGUGUUUAAAACUUUGAUUUUUAUUAUUUAAUCCUAUAAAUGUGUUUGCCUAGUGAGAGAUGCAUAUACAGAAUUCAGGAAACUCUAUAGACAUGUUCUCUAUGUGAUAGGCAGAAACGCAAAAACCUAUAGACAUGGUCUCUAUGUAUGAAAUGCAGAAGCUAUAGACAUGGUAUCUAUGUAUGAAAUGUAGAGGCUAUAGACAUGGUAUCUACGUAUGAAAUGCAGAACCUAUAGACAGGAUUUCUAUAUGAAAUGCAGAACCUGUAGGCAUGGUUUCUAAAUGAAAAAUGCAGAAGUGCAGGACUUUGUAAACAUGAUUUCUACAUGAAAAAUUCAGAAGUGAAAACAGGACAUGAUUGCAAUAGUAAAUACCUAUAAACAUGAUAUCUACCCUUGUGCAUACAUGAGUGACCCUCCCCUUUUCACUAAAACCCCAUAAGUUAUUACAAAUUAUUACUGCCCAGAAUGAAUAAAGAAAAGUAAAAUAAAAUUACAUCAGAAAGCUAAAAAAUCCUAACCAAGGAGAACCUGAUUCAGACUUUUGUCUGAAGCAUAAAGUAAACCAACUCCAAAGAUCAAAUUCCAAAGCCUUUCUCCUAUUCGGGAUGUUUCAGAGUUCCCUAAGAGUCUCAAGUGGACUCCGGGCAGUACUUACACCCAAAUAUAUUGCAGAAUUGGAUUAUAGUGUAGUGUGGAAGGGCCAUCCCUCAAAUGUCCAAGUUCAGAUAGAGCUCAAGGUCCCAAAGCAAGGCUCAUAGGAGGGGGGCAGAACAUAGAAUCUAAGAGAGAGAGCUAGUGCAUAGAAGGGAUUUUGGGGAAAGCCAAGACAGGUUGGUGGUCAUAACCAGCAAUUGGAAGUGCUAGCACACCCCAACUAGCCUGUUAGCCACAUUGUUUGGGAGUUAGGAUCCAUUAAAGGAUCAAGUCCAGACAUGAGCAACAAUUUGGAUGUUGCCAUGCUUUGAACUUUAACUCAAACACAUAGAAGGGAAUAAGGGUAUGGGGAAUUCACAUAGCAACAAAUGNNNNNNNNNNNNNNNNNNNNNNNNNNNNNNNNNNNNNNNNNNNNNNNNNNNNNNNNNNNNNNNNNNNNNNNNNNNNNNNNNNNNNNNNNNNNNNNNNNNNNNNNNNNNNNNNNNNNNNNNNNNNNNNNNNNNNNNNNNNNNNNNNNNNNNNNNNNNNNNNNNNNNNNNNNNNNNNNNNNNNNNNNNNNNNNNNNNNNNNNNNNNNNNNNNNNNNNNNNNNNNNNNNNNNNNNNNNNNNNNNNNNNNNNNNNNNNNNNNNNNNNNNNNNNNNNNNNNNNNNNNNNNNNNNNNNNNNNNNNNNNNNNNNNNNNNNGUUAAAUUAGAACAUACCAGUUUCAGGAAAAUAAGAAGAGAAGAGCAGUAGUAGCCAAAUUGCAAACACAUAGCCAGAAGAUUUCAGAAGAGAGUAGAGUGUUGAAUUGAGAAUGUAGGAGUAUUGAAAUUGGAAGUGUUCAAUAAGUGUUGUCGAAGUAUUGAACUCAAGGUCUUAAAGAGUAUUGAAUUGGAAGUGUGUAAAAGUGCAGAAGGGUCGUGCCCUUUAUAGUGCAGAAAGCAAGUAAGAAAAGGUAAGAAAAUAGUUUUGAAAUCAAUCACAUAAGGUCUCCCUUCAAUUAAGGGAUUCUGAUUUCAAACGGGCAAGAUAAUUAAGGAAAAGUUUUGAUCAAACUCUUUCCAAAGUAGCACAAGAAGGGUAAAUACACAGAAGUUAUUUAAGGCAAAAGUCCAGUGGUACAUGGUUUGUGCAAAUAAGGAAAGGCGAUCACUCAACAGCCAGUAAAAUCAAAAUUGCAGGCUUUGUUCGAAUGAACCAAGUCAGGAAAAAUGAGGAAAGGGUUUUACUUAAGAAAAAUCAGUAACAAUCAAUCAAACCUUAUUAAGAAGAAUUCCGAAUCAAUCACAAGUUGGCAAAACCUUUUGAAGGUAAAAUUGCUCAUAUAUAAAGCAUACAGACAUAUCGAAUAAGAAAGAACUAUCAUGCGAAAAAGCCUAGUAUAGAAGAGUUCCGGGUCAUAACAAAGAGGCUCAAAUCCAGUAAAUAGACUUAGAAUGAGUUUUAGAGUGUUCAGGGUCCCAAAUAGAACCCUAGCCCAAAACACAAGAUCAAACUCGCCAAAAAAAUGCCAAAUCCCAGGGUUUUCAACUCGAGUCAGAUACAGAAAAGAGAAGACAAAUAACUAAAACAGGCUCAGAGGUCUCUUUCAAGGAUUCAUGUGAAAACAAGCAGAUAAAAUAGCAGGUUCAAGGCAAAUAGAAUGAAGAACUGAUUUGAAGCAAAAAGAACACCUUUUAAGAAAGCUUGGAACUUAAAUAAGUUUUAGAAGAGAAACGAGAUAGUAUAGCACUUAAGAGAACAACAGAGGAAACAUGUUUAACAAAGACUCAAACAAAAUCCAUAAGAAGGCAACUAAAGACCUAAAAGCUUAUUAGAAAAUACAGUAGAGGAACAUAGGGGUAAACGAACACAUAAGAUAAACAUGUGAAAGCAUGAUAUAGAAACCAGUAGAUGAAAGAACGGAGCACAAUAGAAGGACAUGCAAAAUAAGGUAAACAUAAGAACAUAUAAGAAGGACAUGCGAGGUAGAAAAGAGAACAUAAAAACAUAGCAUAGACAGAUUCACACAAAGAGAAGAAGAAGAGGAGUCAGAAAACAUUUUAAAACCUUUUCAAAGACUCUAAAUCAAAGAGAAGUAAUUUUUGAAAGAAAAUUUGGGAAAAUGUUUAAGAACUCAAGUAGAGCACAGACAUAGCAUAGAUAUAAGAAAACAACCAGAGAAAAACCUCGAAUAGUUUAGGGUUUUAGAGAAACCUUAGAAAUGAGAAAGUCUUGGAAGAAGGUCCGAUCUUGAGUCGGAGAGGUCAGACAUAGGCUUCUGAUAUUUGAAUACGCCGGAGCCAGGCCGGAGAGGCCAUAAAACCUUGGAUCUGUAGAGAUCUGAAAGGACACCAUCGAGGUCGGACCUCGAAACUUCGAACACCCAGGGUUUAUUGGUGGAGGAGGGUGAGUACAAGCCAUUCAUGGCCUGUGAUGCCAUGGGUUCCGGUGAGAUUGCGGUUGAAGGGGGGUGAGAGAGGCUAGGGUUUCUGGAACCUUUGAGAGAGUUUGAGAGAGGGAGAGUAUUCAAAGGCAGCUGAGAGAUGGAAAUGAGGGGAUCAGGGUAGGGUUAGUGAAUUAAAAAAGGUAAGGGGUAAUCGUGGUCGUUGAUCUAAAUGAUCAACGGCCUGGAUUGAAAGAAAGGGUCGGGCGGGCUAAUUUAUUGGGUCGGGAGUCGGGUUAGAUUAGAAUUGGGCCGGUCCAAUUGCGUUUCAAAAUUGGGUCAAUUAGGGGGGGUCAAUUUGGCUAUGAUUGAAAUAAAAAUGGGCCACAUUUUAAAUAACCAGUUUUUUCCUUUUUAUUUUAUAAAAAAUAGUAAAACAAUUUUGAAAGUAAAUUAAGAGUAUUGGAUCAGUUAAUAAUAUAUAAAUAUUGAUUUAAAAAUGUUGGAACCAAUUUUAUAAUUAUAAAAAUGCUAUUAAAUCUAAAAGUAGGCAAGAAUUGUAAUUAUAUNNNNNNNNNNNNNNNNNNNNNNNNNNNNNNNNNNNNNNNNNNNNNNNNNNNNNNNNNNNNNNNNNNNNNNNNNNNNNNNNNNNNNNNNNNNNNNNNNNNNNNNNNNNNNNNNNNNNNNNNNNNNNNNNNNNNNNNNNNNCUGUGUGGCAAAUUAUGACUCAUGACGAGGCUGUCCUUGACCAUUGGCCCAUGCUUGACACAUUUCGAUCAUUUGCUAUUUUAGUAUUCUAUUUUUCUCAAACACAGUAGACUCUUGUUGAACCCCCUAACCCUGAGUCUCUUGAGCAUUUGUAACAGAUUCGAUGUGAGUUAUCAUUUUUCCUUGGAUCUUGUGUUUCCAGCUUACCACAAACCGACCACCUCAACUUUCUUCACAAUUCAAAACAAAAUAUGUAGAAUGGACUUAGUCGGUCCUUAUUAUUAUCAAUAUUUUUCAUUUUUUUCAUUUAUUUUUUAUUUCUUUUUAAUGGUGAUCGAACCUGAUGUGGGUUGCCUACGUAUCAUGUGGGAACAUGAAUCAGAUCUUGCGUAGUACAGGAAGAUCAUGAAUAAAGUAAAUAAACUAACUUUUUUUUAAAAUUUUUAAUUUUAUUUUUUCGAAAGAAAGACUUAUAAAGAAGAAAAGGAAUAUUUUUGGAUUUUGAUUUCUCUUCAGCAUUUUUGCAAAGAAAGACUUCUAAAGAAGAAAAAAAAAUUAAUUUUUUUUCUGGAAUUUCGAAAGAAAAACUUCUAAAGAAUAAAGAAAAUAUUUUUGGAAUUUUAUUUUGAAUUUAUGAAAGAAGUGCUUCUAAAAAAAGAAACAAUUUUUGAAUUUUGAAUUUUCUUUUCAAUUUUGAAAGAAGAAUGAAAAUAUUUUUGGAUUUUUGGAAGAAAUUAAAAGAAAAUAUUUUAGUCUAUUUUUUUUAAAAAAAACAAUUAGGGUCUAAAAGAAAGGCUUUCUAAAGAAGCAAGUAAUGGAAAAUAUUUUUGGAUUUUUUGAAAAUUGAGGUCUUAAAAAAUGACUUUUCUAGAGAGGAGGUAAAGAAAAUAUUUUUGGAUUUUUCGAAAAUUAUAGGCCGGAACCGAUGAGGUUUGCCUAAGUAUCUCACAUCCGGUGAGAAUCAGACCCGCGUAGUUCGCCAGUUUUGAUGGAACAAAAGCAAAUAUGACUUAUUUUGAAAUGACUUUUAUUUUUUUUCAAAAUUUCAACAAAGUUUCAGGGUAAUUCAAAUACCUACCUCUCACUCUCUUUUCUUUUCUCUUUUUUUUUCUGAUUUUUAUUUUUUUUCAUUUUCUUUCCCUAUUCUAGAAGCCAGCCAGCAUGCAAGCCAAAAUAGAUAGAUACGCAAGUAGCACGUAAGAUGUAUCAGGAUGAUAUUUUAAUUUUGGCGCACCUGUCCUAGACGGACCCAACCCCUAUGUUGAGUCCCUAAAGUCAAAUGCACAUGAUACAAACAAACAUUCCUACUAGGGAUCCGGCAUGAAGCUGAGUUAUUCUAAGCUAAAAACCUGGGAUAUUGUUCAAGACUUGUGUACCCGAGUGGACAACUCGAGCCGAGGAAGGGGCUACGUACUGGGAACCAAAAGGCCAUCCGGCUUUGUAACUUGUCUGAGUCUCUUUCUUAUUUCAAGGUAUGACACUAACAGAAGGAGGAGUCACGCCAGCGUGCACAUCCCCGAAGAUGAGAAGAGAAGGGUUUCGUAACAGUUUAUAUACAGUUCAAAUAAUAUCAAAGCGGUGAAAAGCGGCAUUUAGCACAUUAAGCUCAAACAUGCAAUAAAAUCAGAUAAUAAAUAAAGCCAAUUAUAACAAUUAUUCUAAGCUCGAAUUCUUGAACCCUGAACCAGAAGUUCUGGGUUCUUAUCCCCAGCAGAGUCGCCAGAGCUGUCACACCUCCUUUUUUCCUACACCCCAGAAGGGGCAUAAGGGAGUUUUUUUCCAACUUAAAGUGACAAUCGAAACGGGAUUAUUUAUUUAUUAAAUUCAGAGUCGCCACUUGGGAUAAUUUUUUGGUGUCCCAAGUUACCGGUUCAAAUUCCGAAUCGAGGAAAAGAUUGACUCUGUUUUACAGUCCGCGAACACAAAAAUUUGGGUAAGGAAUUCUGUUAACCCGAGAGAAUGUAUUAGGCAUUCCCGGGUACCGUGGUUCUAGCACAGUAGCUCAACUGUUAUAAUUGGCCUAUUAUCUAAUUUUAGAACAUGUUUUAACCUAUGGUACAAUUUUAAUUUUAUAACCGCUUUUACUUAAUUAUUUUUUAGGAGAAAGAUUCAAUGUCAUAUAAAACAUAUCUUGAACCACGUCACAUAAAUGCUCCCGCGGUCCAUGACACAUUUUGUCUAAAGUUGUUUGAGAUUUGGAUUUGGGUCACAUAAAUGCACACCCGAAUUGAGAUUUACAUAUCGUAACCAUGCUACGGGAACCGUACCCAUGGCCACGAUAAUUUAUUAUUGAUCGCGUCUAAAGCAAGCUACGAUGUUUGUGAGUCAUUUCCUGCACAUUGUAUGGGAUGAUUGGAAACAGUGGUAGAUCAUGGAAUUCGUAUGAUGCCUUAACUUGACAAAGAAUUAAAAGUUCUACCUUUCGUUUUCAAAAAAGAAUCGAAGGUUAUUAAUAGUCAAGUUACAAACAUACAUGUCAUUUGGGAUUAAGCCUCAUAUAAGGCCUAAUAUAACAAAAGUAAGUCAAUUCAAAAUGAAUUCAACUACAUCAAUUUUCUAGACCUCAUGCUCAUUACAAAUUUAUAAUUGAUCGUCAAAGUUGGCCGAUUAAGAAAUAGGCCCAAAUCAGUACGAGAAUCCGAGUAAAAUAGGUCAUAUUUAACCACUUCAACAAAUUGACCCGAUACACAAAAUGAACCAAUUUUUUGCAAUGAACUAGAGAUAAUGGAGCUUGCACAAGUCGAUGAAAUUAAUUCUAUAAUCCCGUUCAUUUACCCUAUAUAUUAAGGUAAUAAUGGAGAGACCAAGAAUCAAACACUUUCUUCAAAAAAAUAAAACCAAUUUCUCAUAGUAAACUUGUGGAACCAAAGCAGCAAACACGGAUAUAGUUCAAACUAUUCAUUUUGAUAUGAUAAUUCAGAAAUAAAGAGCAUAAGUGCAUCAGCAAGAGAAAUCAAACAAACAAUACCAACAUUCAUGACAUAAAAUCUAGAGGUCGAAAAAAGAAUAAAGUUUGAAGUGUGACCUUUUAAAUGAAUGACGGCUUCAAUAUAUUAACAUGUUGACUCAUAUUACAAUGAAGAAGGCGACGACCGAAUCGAGCGAAGUUCAACAGUCCAGAAACGAGCCAAUCCACCAAAUUCAGCAAUUUCAACAGCCCAAACAACUAAGAAAAAUCCCAGAAAAAGAAGGGAAAAAAAGCACAGUGGUUGAAUAAAACCCGAACAUGCCAGAUUCUUCUUUUAUUUUUAUAAUUUCUCUUCUGGUUUUGAGAAAAGGUCUUUGUUUAUGUUGUCGAGCCCUCAAAUCAGAGAUCGAAUCUGGAUUUUGGUAUGAGAAAAUGAGAAGAAAAUGAGCUCCGAAAUGGGCUUGAACCAGCGAACCUCUAGUAGUAAAUUCAAGCCACCCUCAAACUCAAUCAAUCUCUUAGUUUGUAUUUUUUCUUCUGUUUUUCAUCUCUGUGUCAUGUGUUUGGGAAGAUUAAGAAGAAAACAGAAAGAGGGCGCUGGAGGGGUUCGACCUUUCUUUUUAUUUAUGGGAACAAAGAAAAAGAAAUCAGCAGUAGUGCUGCUUCUUUAGAGAAAGAGGAAAAGGAUUAGGGAUCUGGUUCUUCGAUGAAGUUAUGUUCUUCAUUUUGGUUUUUCAAGAGGAUGAAGAACAGAGGAAAAGGAUCCGCCAUUUUUGUUCUAGGUCUAAGGGUGGGGAAAUCUGAUGGGUAAACUCUUUAGGGUUGGGAUUUAAUGAGAGGGGAAUGGGUUAUUGGGCCAGGCGGGUCGGGUUGGUUUUCGGGCCUUGGUGGUUUGGACGGGUUUGGGUAAUUUUUAGGCUAG